CAAUCAAUGACAAAUAUAUAAUCCUCUACCCCUCCCUCCCUUUCCCUAAACCUCAAUCCAUAUCCUCCACCCAAACCAAACCUCACCAUUUCUCUCUCUCUCUCUCUCUCUCUCUCUCUGUAUGUAUUUAAUGCAAAGCGGCUACUUCAGGCACAGUGAAUAACCAAACCAAACACGUACGUGCUCUGUCCGCCUCUCUCUCUCUCUCUCUCUCUCUCUUUGUUUUUCUGUGUUAUAGUCAACGCGGUCAAACAUCACUUCACACCAUAGGCCCCAGUGAUCAACAGGCAAAAAACAUGCUCGAGACCGUGAAGUACCUGCUCGGAUCGGCCGGAGCGAGCGGCUACGGCUCAAGGAGCACAGCGGAGCAAGUCACCGAGAGCUCUCCCGAUCUGCGCCACAUCACCGCCAUCAUCACAGGUGCUACGUCAGGGAUCGGCGCUGAGACGGCUCGUGUUUUAGCUAAGCGUGGGGCCAGGCUGGUCCUCCCGGCUCGGAGCCUAUCGUCUCCGAGUUUCCCGACUCGGAGAUCAUCAUCAUGGCGCUUGAUCUUAGCUCUCUCACUUCUGUCAGGAGCUUCGUCUCCGAGUUCGAGUCCCUUCAGCUGCCUCUUAAUCUGCUCAUAAACAACGCCGGAAAGUUCGCGCACGAGCACGCUAUUUCCGAAGACGGAAUCGAAAUGACCUUUGCGACUAAUUAUCUAGGCCAUUUUCUGUUGACGAAGCUGCUGCUCAACAAAAUGAUCGGAACGGCGGCGGCUACCGGCGUUCAAGGCCGAAUAGUGAACGUCUCGUCUGCGAUUCACGGCUGGUUUUCGGGGGAUACCAUCCGAUAUCUCGGCGAGAUAAGCCGAAGCGGAAGCGAUUACGACGAGACACGUGCGUAUGCGCUCUCGAAGCUGGCCAACGUCUUGCACACCAAGGAACUCGCUCGCAGACUCAAGGAAAUGGACGCCAACGUCACCGUUAACUGUGUCCAUCCAGGAAUCGUUAGGACCCGCCUCACCCGAGAACGUGAAGGCCUUGCCACAGAUUUGGCGUUCCUCAUGGCUUCCAAGCUCCUGAAAACAAUACCCCAGGCUGCGGCGACAACAUGUUAUGCCGCGACACACCCAAGGCUGGUGGACGUGUCCGGGAAGUACUUCGCCGACUGCAACGAGACCUUGCCGUCGAAAUUGGGAUCUAACCUAAGCGAAGCUGCUCGGUUAUGGUCGGCCUCUGAAAUCAUGGUGUCCAAAUCCUCCAAUGCGAUUUUUGAUCCAAGCAGCCAAUUGGAGUACUAAAAGAGUAGAAAACAGGACAUCAUCAUCAACUAUAUAUUAUAGAUACAAAUAUCAAGAGAGAAACAGAAAAGCAUCUUAAUUAUA